ACGCUCGACACCUACGGGACAGCAGUGGGGAAUAUUGCACAAUGGGGGAAACCCUGAUGCAGCGACGCCGCGUGAGCGAAGAAGUAUUUCGGUAUGUAAAGCUCUAUCAGCAGGGAAGAAACUGACGGUACCUGACUAAGAAGCACCGGCUAAAUACGUGUCAGCAGCCGCGGUAAUCUGAGCGGGCUGGCAAGGC
rnacentral:rRNA from 1 species